CAGGACUAACAAUCAAGUAGGCCGUUCUUUCAUUAAAAUAAAGUGCAACCGCAGAGCGGUUUUUGCACCAGCACCGUAAAGGAAGGACGAUUUGCAAGUUGUGACUUAUAAUAAUGGUGGUAUAAAGAAACCGAAAAGGAAACGUUGGUAAACCAAGGUGAUUUAAACUGCAGUGAACGUGUUUACAUGCUGGGAGCCUGCUAGUAAAACCAAGGACAGUAAAGAUUUUAAAUGGGAAUGGCCAGCUCCCGGGGCAUAAAGAAACGAUGACAAAGCUGUAAAGCCGAAAAUCGCCUAAGACUUUUAGAUUUACCGCCGUUUGUGACCGUGACGCUGACAGCUGAACUUCCCUAGCACGGGCAGGCUCUGCCGCAGCAAAGACUACAGCUGAACAGGGUGUUAUGGGACUGAAAGUGUGGUUCUUCACGGCGCUGUCCGUGGUGCUGAUCCAGUUUUCACACACCUUGUUGCGCCGCGCAGUUCCUGGGUCCAGGCCACACGCGGUGCAUGCUGGGAUAUUCGCCCGCCGGGACACGGCGCUGAUGUUUGCAAAACAGCGUUUGACUGCUUUAGGCCAGUUUGAUUUUGGCAUGACCUGACUACUUCCAUCUGCUGUGACAUUCGUGAAUGAAACGUGGGAUUAUCGUGGCUAUAGAAACAUCCGACACACGGAGAACAGUUUGUGCAAACAUUUGCAUAAAACUAGAAAACAGUAUUCAGUAACAGUCUUUCUAGUAAUGUAAACUCUGAAGAAAUCUGGGGCCUUGAUUUGCUGGUUAUUAUAGUUGUUUGCUGAUACACAAAGGGAAUGUGUGAUUGGCUGGUUUAAUAUAAUUGUUUGCUGAUACUGUGAGCACACGUGUGACUGGAUAAUCUGCCCCACGGGGAGAGGAGGAGGAGGAGGAGAAGUGGGUGGCCAAAGUCUUCCGGGCCAGAUAUUUUCUCUGAAUACAUAUGCAGAUUGGAAAAAUACAACCGCAGAUUCACAAGCUACCACAAGCUUCAAACC